AGCAAACACGAAACCCCUUUCAAUUCUCAGUUCUCAACCCUUACUAUUCAUCCUCUCUACGACUCUACUUCAUCCCAAAUUCGCAAUGAGGUUUAGAGCGUCAUGAAUGUCAAAAUCAGAUCUUGGUUCUCCUUGCACUGCUCAUUUGCUUGCUGAAUAUCUCUGUUUGCCUUUAAUGGCAUUCAAUUUCAUCUCUUUCGAUCUUUGUCGAUAAUAUUCUGAUUGGAAAAGGCAAUGUAGGUGCAACAAGAGAAUAGGCCGGAACACUUGAGCAUCAAAACAAGCGACUAUAUAAGUCCAUCAUCUAUCUAUUUUGGUUUUUAGUCUUAUAUUAGUGAUGUAUUUAUUUAGGGACAAGCUACUAUAAUAUGCGACGUUUUUUUUA